ensembl:snRNA U1 U1 spliceosomal RNA
AGAUGUUCAAGGCAAGGGAGAUAGCAGGAUUGUGACAGUGGCUUUCCCAGGACAAGGCUUAACCAUAGCAUUCCAGACAUGCUGACCUCUGCAGCUUCCACAAAGACGGGGGAACUCGACAGUAUAAAUUGUAAUGAGGGACUGUGUGUGUACUCUGCCUUU